rnacentral:misc_RNA from 1 species
UUAAGUUUGUAAACAACAUUGCCUGAAAAUUUCGAAGUAAUUGCUUUUAGAUGAUCCAUAUUUCUGUUUGAUAACUAAAAACAAGCAUUGAUACUAGAUAAUGCCAACCACGAAAAGCCAAAUCAGGAACAUAAGGAACAAUGCAAAACUGCCCAGAAAAGUUUUUCCUCAUGCAUUCACAUUUUAUGCUGUAGCACACAAGCUUAUAGGAGACGUUAGUUACCCUUGAAAUAUUUGAAUGAAGUUCAUUAGUUAAAACAGGAAGUAUGCAAUACAAACUAUCAAUAUUGCAUUUUGGUAGCACAUACCAAAAAUAAAAAAAAGCACACAAUCAGCAUAGAUAAGACUUUAGGGGCAACUAUAUUGAUUUGUGAGCAUAGAUAUGACUUUAGGCAACUAUAGUUGUUGCAAUCCAUAUCACACAUAUAUACCUUAGCAUCAGGACUAUUGAAAA